rnacentral:rRNA from 1 species
AGAGUUUGACCAUGGCUCAGAUUGAACGCUGGCGGCAAGCCUAACACAUGCAAGUCGAGCGGCAGCGAAAGAGAGCUUGCUCUCUUGUCGGCAAGCGGCAAACGGGUGAGUAAUAUCUGGGGAUCUACCCAAAAGAGGGGGAUAACUACUAGAAAUGGUAGCUAAUACCGCAUAAUGUUGCAAAACCAAAGUAGGGGACCUUUAUAGGCCUUAUGCUUUUGGAUGAACCCAGACGAGAUUAGCUUGUUGGUGGAGUAAUAGCCUACCAAGGCAA